CGCAAGUGGGGGUAUUUGGACGCAGCAUUAGUCAGAACUCACAGUGUUUGAGCGUAUAGGAGGAACGAUUGCCUCCAUGCUUAUUUGCAACUGAUAGUAACAGCCUGUGAAUGCUUCCUUCCAGUAUGGAUAAGCCUCUUCAACCCCAAGUGCAAGGGUUUUUUCCAAUGCUGGAGACACCAUUUGCCCAAAAGGAUUAAUAUAUAUUCCCAGAAAAGGCUGAUAUGUUAAGUCAAAUGAGGAGAGAAGAAAACAAGAGAGAAUGACAUCACAGACAGAGGGGAGAGUGAGGAAGAGGAUGAUAUUCAGAUGAUGAAUUGAAAAUGAAAUCCACGGAGAGCUCAACAUUAUCUCUGCACCCACUUGGUUGUCAAUGGACAAAGAUGUACCAAGACAUUCCACCUACAAUGACAUCUGAUGACCAGGCAGGUGGUGGAAUCAGAAAAAUGCAUAUCCUUUCCUGUCAGAUCUUGCCUUUUCAUAUUUAUGUGUGCAGGCCUCUUCAACCCCAAGUGAAAAGGUUUUUUUAACUGCUGGAGACAUUAUUUGCCCUAAAAGACUCAUAUAUUCCCAGAAAAGGCUGAUAUGUCGAUUUUUCUGAAUAAAAAUUGUUAAGCACCGGUGACAACUGUAGCAAACCCCUACAAGCCCUUGCACUCUUAAAAACAAGUCCUAUACAAUUUAUUGAGAUGCAGCCAACAAGUAUGGAACUUUAACUUUUUUGACCAUGAGCAGCUCAGUUUUUAUGUAGACUAGUGCAGGUUUUUGUUUGUUAUCUGACAAUACCAACCCUAAUUAGAUUACAGAAUGAUUAUUAGGUCGCAGAUUGACUGUCACACAGGACUUUAAAUGAAAUCAGGUGUACAGCUUUGUUCUUAUAGAUUUAACCAUGUGUUACUGAUUUAGAACUUAUUAAACCUAUUAAAGAAAUAAGCAGUGGAUGAUUUUCUCUUUAUCAUAUUAAUAUUAAGAACACAAUGGUUGCGUUAACACUGGAUAAACAUCCAAACUACAAAUAAUAAACAUCCACUAUUCUUUAUGAAGGACAUUUGCUGGGUUUUCACAAGCAGGUUCACAUUAUGUAAUGAACAUCGUUUUAAUUGUAAAAUUAUUUAAAGAUAGAAUAGUUCUGGUAUGAAAAUGGCAUAGAAAGGCUAAUUUAGUAAGUAAUUUUGUUUUCGGUUUAUGAUUUUAAUUGUUAUAUAGCAUUUUAAUUGUUACAUUACAUUUGCAUGUUGUCAGUAGUUUUUAUUUUAUUUCACAAUAUUAAUUAUCAGACUUCUAUUAAGAGGGCAUUCCCCUAAAGCAAGAGAGCCUUAAACAUACAUAUAUCAAAAUAUAAAAUAAAUGGUCUGAUAAAGAUCAUCAGUAAAUCCAACUGGGCUUAAUUGAUUCAAUAUUUAUUUAUUUUAAAAAAACAUAUUGUCCAGACCUCCGUUUUGGAAGAAAAUAUAAAGACUGUGGAAGCUAGGACCUGCAUUAAUAUUUGUAAAGACUUU